rnacentral:lncRNA from 1 species
GCAUGAAUACAAACUGAAAAACAGUCAUUUAAACAUUUUUAAUGCAUAAAAUGACUAUAUGUUCAGAUUUGAGAGUCUAUUUAUGUAUUAUCACUUACAAUAAGGAGUCUUAUUUCAAAUGAGGGUUUACCUCUUGAAAGGGGUCUGCAAAUUGAAGUUCCAGUCAAAUUCAUGGUUCGUUAUAACUUUCCCAAUUUGAGAAAAAUGACGCAUAUUUUCCCAAUAAAAAGGGGUAGAGGUAAUUUUGAAAAAAGCCAAC